rnacentral:misc_RNA from 1 species
UCGUAACAAGGUUUCCGUAGGUGAACCUGCGGAAGGAUCAUUACUGAGUGCGGGCUGCCUUCGGGCGCCCAACCUCCCACCCGUGAAUACUUAACCACUGUUGCUUCGGCGGAAGCCUUCCCUCCCGGGGGAAGCGGCCGCCGGGGACCACUGAACUUCUUUGUUUAAGCAUGACCUCUGAGCUUGUAUAAGCAAAUUUAGUUAAAACUUUCAACAAUGGAUCUCUUGGUUCCGGCAUCGAUGAAGAACGCAGCGAACUGCGAUAAGUAAUGCGAAUUGCAGAAUUCAGUGAAUCAUCGAGUCUUUGAACGCACAUUGCGCCCCCUGGUAUUCCGGGGGGCAUGCCUGUCCGAGCGUCAUUUCUGCCCAUCAAGCGCGGCUUGUGUGUUGGGUCGUCGUCCCCCCCGGGGGACGGGCCCGAAAGGCAGCGGCGGCACCGUCCGGUCCUCGAGCGUAUGGGAGCUUUGUCACCCGCUCGAUUAGGGCCCGGUCGGCGCUAGCCGUCAACCCCCAAUUUUAUCAGGUGACCUCGGAUCAGGUAGGGAUACCCGCUGAACUUAAGCAUAUCA